GCUGGAUGCAGUGGUGCACACCUGUAAUUCCCACUACUCAGGAGGCUGAGGCAAGAGAAUCGAAAGUUCAGGGUCAACCUUGGUAACUUAAUGAGAUCCUGUCUCAU
rnacentral:sRNA from 1 species